rnacentral:lncRNA from 1 species
UUCAAUCGAGAAGAGGGGCUAAGUAAAGUAAGGUCCGUCCAACAAGGGUAAGCUUCAAGUAGACAAGAAUUAUACAUUAAAAAAAACGUUCUCUUUGUAAGAGUUCCUUUCUUACGUCAACAAAAGUGAGACACUAUACACUCUUAACUUCAUCCCUACUUCCAAGCAUCUCAAGAGACGGUCCUUUACAUAAAGCCAUCGCUUUUCAUGACCUUUAAUGCCUUCUAGAUAGAUAGAUGCUCACCGACCAAUUCACCUGAAAAACGAUCAGACAGACGUCACAGACCCUAUAACCAUUAUCAACCAAUACAUUUUUGUUGUGCUUAAUAGAUCUGUGUCUGUGCUCACGCUCACUGUCAAAAGAAUCAUAUAGCUCAUUCAUG